AUCUCCGUCCGCAUAGCCCAUCUUUCUUUAUCCCUCUUCUUCAUUCUUUCCGUUCUUCGAGAAGUAAGAGGAGUAAGAGAAGGAAGAGGAGGAGGUGAAGAAGGAGAAGAAGAAGUAGAAGAUCGUGGACCACACGUGAACACGCAGAGUUCGAGUCAUCGUCUCUUUCGUCGUCUUCGUUGUCGUCGUAUCGUUUGCCAUCGAUACAACACGCCAUUCUUCUUCUUAUCUCGAACCUACCAAGCGAACACGUUCGAUCUCGUCUCAAAACCGAACUCGAUAACAGCCGAGGUCUGGCAAGCGUGUAAUUUUCCACCGCUUAUCCAACCACUCUACGACCGGGAUCCAUUCUCUUGUCAGAUCGGGCCGAGUCACGGAAGGUGUGAGGGGACAAAAAAGUCUCGGGUGGGAGAGUAAAAGAGAGAGAGAGAGAGAGAGAGAGAGAGAAAGAGAGAGAGAGAAAGAGAAGGAGAAGGAGAGAGGGGAAGGAAGGGGAUAAAUCUCGUUACAGCUCUCGAGAUACAUCCUUCGUAAUCGAGCACGGCACACGGUGCUUGCGCAGCUUGCUUCCACGAUGCGCCGUGACGACGGACGCUAAUAGCGUUCGCACGACACCUUUCGAGAGUAAAGGAGACUCGUCAAGAGAAAAAAUACGAUACGAUGUACUAACUUAAGCGUAAUUGACGAGAAGUCUAGGACAGGUCACGCGAAGGUAUUCUUACAGCAAAGGUCGCUGCCACGGCAAAAGCUGGUGAACGUUUCGCAUCGCUCGUUUCCUCUUCGAACGAACAAUCAGAUCUAUUUAUGUAUCACAGAUACAUGUAUGUACAUACAUACAGAUACAUACAUAUAUAUCUAAAUACUUAUUUAUAUCCUUAGACAUAAAUAUUCCAUCUGUCUCCUCAUUUUCGAUUUAGAUUUAAAACGUUCAUCAUGUAGUACUGAAAUAUUUAAAUAAGUAACUAUAAUACAUCCGCGAAAGAAAAGAAAAAAAAAAUCUGUUCAUCCUCUCUCUCUCUCUCUCUCUCUCUCUCUCU